AUUGAACGCUGGCGGCAGGCCUAACACAUGCAAGUCGAGCGGAUGAAGGGAGCUUGCUCCUGGAUUCAGCGGCGGACGGGUGAGUAAUGCCUAGGAAUCUGCCUGGUAGUGGGGGAUAACGUCCGGAAACGGGCGCUAAUACCGCAUACGUCCUGAGGGAGAAAGUGGGGGAUCUUCGGACCUCACGCUAUCAGAUGAGCCUAGGUCGGAUUAGCUAGUUGGUGGGGUAAAGGCCUACCAAGGCGACGAUCCGUAACUGGUCUGAGAGGAUGAUCAGUCACACUGGAACUGAGACACGGUCCAGACUCCUACGGGAGGCAGCAGUGGGGAAUAUUGGACAAUGGGCGAAAGCCUGAUCCAGCCAUGCCGCGUGUGUGAAGAAGGCCUUCGGAUUGUAAAGCACUUUAAGUUGGGAGGAAGGGCAGUAGGUUAAUACCUUGCUGUUUUGACGUUACCAACAGAAUAAGCACCGGCUAACUUCGUG
rnacentral:rRNA from 1 species